rnacentral:rRNA from 1 species
AGAUUGAACGCUGGCGGCAGGCCUAACACAUGCAAGUCGAGCGGCAGCACGGGUACUUGUACCUGGUGGCGAGCGGCGGACGGGUGAGUAAUGCCUAGGAAUCUGCCUGGUAGUGGGGGAUAACGCUCGGAAACGGACGCUAAUACCGCAUACGUCCUACGGGAGAAAGCAGGGGACCUUCGGGCCUUGCGCUAUCAGAUGAGCCUAGGUCGGAUUAGCUAGUUGGUGAGGUAAUGGCUCACCAAGGCGACGAUCCGUAACUGGUCUGAGAGGAUGAUCAGUCACACUGGAACUGAGACACGGUCCAGACUCCGUACGGAGCAGCAGUGGGAAUAGUGGACAAGUGGGCGAAAGCUGAUCCAGCCAAUGCCGCGUGUGUAGAAGUAGUCUUGGAUUGUAAAGCACUUUAAGUGGAGGAAGGUCAGUUACCUAAUACGUAUCUUGUUUGACGUUAC